rnacentral:rRNA from 1 species
GACGAACGCUGGCGGCGUGCUUAACACAUGCAAGUCGAACGAAAAGGCCCUGCGUUUGUGGGGUGGACGAGUGGGGAACGGGUGAGUAAAACGUGAGUAAACCGCCCCUGACUUUGGGAUAACAUCAGGGAACUGGGGCUCAUACCGGGGAGAAGCUCCUGCUGCGUGGUGGGGGAUGGAAAGAUCCGGCGGUUGUGGCUGGACUCGCGGCUUAUCCGCUUGUUGGUGGGGUAGUUGCUUACCAAGGCUUUGAAGGGUAGCCGGCCUGAGAGGGUGACCGGCCACAUGGCGACUGCGGUACGGCCCAGACGCCUACGGGAGGCAGCAGGCGGGAGCAUUGCACAAUGGGCGGAAGCCUGAUGCAGCAACGCCGCGUGCGUGAUGACGUCCUUCGGGUGGUAAACCGCUUUCGCCGGUGACGAAGCGGGAGUGACGGUAAUGGGUAAAGAAGCACCGGCUAACUACGUG